CAAUUCCAAGUGAUGUUUGGAGACGAAUGGUGCAUGUCAGGUUUUUGUUAGCCAUAGUUUUAACCAAUUUAUUGUUGUUACUAUUGAUGCCUCAGUUAAAAGUGAUGUUUGGAGAUGAAUUGUACUGGCCAUGUUUCUGUUAACACAAGUUUUAACCAAAUUACUUUAACAGUCUUAUAUGCAAAUAUUUCAAGUUGUUACUACUGAUGCCUCAGUUACAAGUGAUGUUUGGAGACGAAUUGUACCGGCCAGGUUUCUGUUUACCCAAGUUUUAACCAAAUUAUUCAUGCAGUGUUUCUGCUACUACAUUUUUCAUGGCCUUAGCCCCCCUACUUCGUUACACCAGCUCACACAUCAAACUAAUACACAUCAGAGGGAAUAACAAAAUGUAUAGCUUGGGGUGGAGAAGGACUGAAGGAGCGACAUGCUUGAUUGAGUGGUCAUAAGUUUGAACCCCAACAAGUGUAAGAAUCCCAACAAGAUCGAGUAAACUGUGCAGUUAAGGUUGAUAGGUGGUUGGGGCGGAGGAGGCCGGGUUAGUUGGGUGGAGACGUGAAGGGCCAAGUCCAGCGUAUUGUCUUUCAAAAUGUGGAGGUCCGGGUAGCUGGAGCAGAAAAUGAAGCUGAAGCAUGCAGCAAAAGUUGCACGCACGUUCAGUUGCAUCUUCUUCUUCACUUACCAAGGCAUAUAAGCAACAUAUAAACUUAUACAGUUCUACAACCAAUUAUGACAUACAGUUCUGCAUAUUGAUUCAGAAAUGGGUGGCAGAAACCGAGACUACCAUACACAUCCAUUGGCCAUUGCGUGACCGUUGCAUCCAGUAAUUAUAUGAGGAAGGCUGGUGAGACUCAUGGAACCGUUUGAAGUUCACAUAUCUAUUGGUGAUGGUCCAGUUAGUGGAGUUCCAUGGUGGUGCGACUUGAGUUAUGAUUAUGUGAAGAUAAACGCGGAGUACACAACAUGAAUGUAAAUCUACGAUGGAGGUGGAGGUUCUCCAUCAUGACUGGUGCUUGGUGCUCCGUCCUAGCAAUCCAUACAAAAAUUGCAAUUGUCAUUUGUGCACGUACACUAGCUUAGGUCUCAAAUCGGAUCAUCUGAAGGCCUUACCACAUCUGAUCUUCUAUAUUCGUGUUGUUCAUGGUUAUGUCCCUGGGAUUUAUGUGGGAAAUAAUCAGGGUGAAGUACAAUAUCAGACCACUCUCAGUGUUGCAUGCAUUACCUGUCAUUAGGAUUAAAAUAAGAAUCAAGAAUAUUGACACUAAUAAGAUUGAAAA